AGAGUUUGAUCAUGGCUCAGAAUCAACGCUGGCGGCGCGCUUAACACAUGCAAGUCGAACGAGAAAGGGAGCAAUCCUGAGUAAAGUGGCGUACGGGUGAGUAACACGUGGAUCAUCUACCCUUUGGUGGGGAAUAACUCUGGGAAACUGGAGCUAAUACCGCAUAAGUCCGAGAGGAGAACGCGUCUCCGUCAAAAGAGACGCGCCGAAGGAGGAGUCCGCGGCUGAUUAGCUAGUUGGUAAGGUAAUGGCUUACCAAGGCGACGAUCAGUAGCCGGCCUGAGAGGGCACACGGCCACACUGGAACUGAGACACGGUCCAGACUCCUACGGGAGGCAGCAGUGGGGAAUCUUGCACAAUGGGGGAAACCCUGAUGCAGCGACGCCGCGUGAGCGAUGAAGCCCUUCGGGGUGUAAAGCUCUUUCGACGGGAACGAUAAUGACGGUACCCGGAGAAGAAGCUGCGGCUAACUACGUGCCAGCAGCCGCGGUAAUACGUAGGCAGCAAGCGUUGUUCGGAAUUACUGGGCGUAAAGAGUGCGUAGGUGGUUUGCCAAGUCCGAUGUGAAAUCUCCCGGCUUAACUGGGAGGGUGCAUUAGAUACUGGCAGGCUUGAGUAUGGGAGAGGAAAGCGGAAUUCCUGGUGUAGCGGUGAAAUGCGUAGAUAUCAGGAGGAACGCCUGUGGUGUAGAC
rnacentral:rRNA from 1 species